CAGAGUACAUCCCCUGUCCUUCAUGAGUUAAUUAUAUAUACACAUUUGGAAUGUCUCUUCUCCCUGUAGAACGCAAUGGACAUUUGAUAACAGGUUUACUAGUAAGUAGCUAGUUUAGAGAUAACUACAAAUUUAAAUGGUCAGUGAAACCACAAUAAAAACCAUUGAUUGCACCAGCACACCUCUUGCCAAAGGAGGAGAUGUCCUCCUUAGAUAUUUAGGCACACCUAAUUCACAAGUUUGACAAAGCUAACCCAGAAAAGUAAAAACUACUUUGAUAUCUGAGAGCAGAGUUGCCUAGUGUAUAGGUGCAGAACAUUUUGCAGAUCCCUGUAGCUGCAAGCUACUCUCUGCUGGCAGAUAGGGUACAUUCAGAUCUAUAACCUCUACAAUGGUGUAUAGUUAGUCAUCCUUUUGUCUUUUCUUUAUUUCUUU